rnacentral:rRNA from 1 species
ACUGCUAUCGGGGUGGGACUAAGACAUGCAAGUUGAGCGUCUCUAGGCUAUGGUAGAGACGCGGCAUACGGCUCAGUAGCACGUGGCCAACCUACCCUUAGGACGGGGACAACCCCGGGAAACUGGGACUAAUAUCCGAUAGAUUAGGAGGCCUGGAAUGGUUCUUAGUCGAAAGGGCUUUGAAACCAUGCUUUUCAACGUCGCCUAAGGAUGGGGCCGCGCCCGAUCAGGCUGUUGGUGGGGUAAUGGCUCACCAAACCUAUAACCGGUGCGGGCCGUGAGAGCGGGAGCCCGGAGAUGGGCACUGAGAUAAGGGCCCAGGCCCUACGGGGCGCAGCAGUCGCGAAAACUCCGCAAUGCGCGAAAGCGUGACGGGGCUACCCCGAGUGCCGUCCGCUGAGGAUGGCUUUUCCCCGGUGUAAUGAGCCGGGGGAAUAAGGAGAGGGCAAGUCUGGUGUCAGCCGCCGCGGUAAUACCAGCUCUCCGAGUGGUAGGGACGAUUAUUGGGCUUAAAGCGUCCGUAGCCGGCUUAGCAAGUCUCCUGUUAAAUUCAGCGACCUAAUCGUUGAGCCGCGGGAGAUACUACUAGGCUAGGAGGCGGGAGAGGCCGACGGUAUUCUCGGGGUAGGGGUGAAAUCCUAUAAUCCCGGGAGGACCACCAGUGGCGAAGGCUGUCGGCUAGGACGCGCUCGACGGUGAGGGACGAAAGCUGGGGGAGCGAACCGGAUUAGAUACCCGGGUAGUCCCAGCUGUAAACGAUGCGGGCUAGGUGUUGGGGUGGCUACGAGCCACUUCAGUGCCGCAGGGAAGCCAUUAAGCCCGCCGCCUGGGGAGUACGGCCGCAAGGCUGUAACUUAUAGGAAUUGGCGGGGGAGCACCACAAGGCGUGAAG